AUUGAACGCUGGCUGCAGGCCUAACACAUGCAAGUCGAACGAGUGGCGGACGGGUGAGUAAUGUCUGGGAAACUGCCUGAUGGAGGGGGAUAACUACUGGAAACGGUAGCUAAUACCGCAUACCAUAGGAUGUGCCCAGAUGGGAUUUGCUAGUAGGUGGGGUAAAGGCUCACGUAGGCGACGAUCCCUAGCUGGUCUGAGAGGAUGACCAGUCACACUGGAAAGGAGACACGGUCCAGAAUCCUACGGGAGGCAGCAGGGGGGAAUAUUGGACAAGGGGCGAAAGCCUGAUCCAGCAAUUCCGCGUGUGUGAAGAAGGUCUUCGGAUGGUAAAGACCUUUAAGUUGGGAGGCGUUACCAACAGAAUAAGCCCCGGCUAACUUCGUGCCAGCAGCCGCGGUAAUUC
rnacentral:rRNA from 1 species